GAUGAACGCUGACAGAAUGCUUAACACAUCAGCAACGGAUUGGUGGCGGACGGGUGAGUAACGCGUAAAGAACUUGCCUCACAGCUAGGGACAACAUUUGGAAACGAAUGCUAAUACCUAAUACUGUGAGAGAGCUUUGGGUCCCAUUAGCUAGUUGGAGAGGUAACGGCGCACCAAGGCGAGGAUGGGUAGCCGGCCUGAGAGGGUGAUCGGCCACAAGGGGCCAGGGUCGCGGCCCUUACUGAAUCGGGAGGCAGGGGUGGAGACUAGUGGGCAAUAGGCCAAAGUCUGAUCCAGCCAUUCUGUGUGCACGGUGAUGUUUUCGGAAUGUAAAGUGCUUUCAGUUUGGGAGCGGUACCCACAGAAGAAGUGACGGCUAAAUACGUGCCAGCAGCCGCGGUAAUUC
rnacentral:rRNA from 1 species